rnacentral:rRNA from 1 species
GGGACAACGUCUGGAAACGGGCGCUAAUACCGCAUAACACCGUUUGUUCGCAUGGGUAGACGGUCAAAGGGGCGACUCGCCGAAAGAUGGGCAUGCGUCUGAUUAGUUAGUUGGCAGGGUAACGGCCUACCAAGACGAUGAUCAGUAGCUGGUCUGAGAGGAUGGUCAGCCACACUGGCACUGAGACACGGGCCAGACUCCUGCGGGAGGCAGCAGUAAGGAAUAUUGGGCAAUGGGCGAAAGCCUGACCCAGCCAUGCCGCGUGAGGGAAGACGGUUCUAGGAUUGUAAACCUCUUUUCUCCGGGACUAAGGCCCCAGUCGCUGGGGUUUGCAGGUACCGGAGGAAUAAGCGCCGGCAAACUACGUGCCAGCAGCCGCGGUAAUACGUAGGGCGCAAGCGUUGUCCGGAUUUACUGGGUUUAAAGGGUGCGUAGGCGGACUUUUAAGUCGGUGAUGAAAUGCUCGGGCUCAACUCGCAGCGCUGUUACCGAUACUGAAAGUCUUGAGACUGCGCGAGGCGGCUGGAAUUCCUGGUGUAGCGGUGAAAUGCGUAGAUAUCAGGAGGAAUACCAGUGGCGAAGGCGGCUUUCUGGUUCGGAAUUGACGCUGAUGUACUAAAGCGUGGGUAGCAAACAGGAUUAGAUACCCUGGUAGUCCACGCCUUAAACUAUGGAUACUUGAUGUCGGGGCGUUCGGUCGACCCGGUGUCGUAGCUAACGUGUUAAGUAUCCCGCCUGGGACUACGGUCGCAAGACUGAAACUCAAAGGAAUUGACGGGGGCCCGCACCAGCGGUGGAACAUGUGGUUUAAUUCGAUGCAACGCGAAGAACCUUACCUGGGCUUGACAUAUAUAUGGCGUAUGUAAGAAAUUAUGUAUUCUGUCUGUUUUUUCAGAUAGCAUAUAUACAGGUGAUGCAUGGCUGUCGUCAGCUCGUGUCGUGAGAUGUAGGGUUAAGUCCCUUAACGAGCGCAACCCUUGCUUUUAGUUGCCAUCAGGUAAUGCUGGGGACUCUAGAAGGACUGCCGAGGUUAACUCGGAGGAAGGUGGGGGUGACGUCAAGUCAGUAUGUCCCUUAUGUCCAGGGCUACACACGUGUUACAAUGGUCGGUACAGAGUGACGCUAAUCCACGAGGUGGCGCCAAUCACUUAAAGCCGAUCCCAGUUCGGAUUGGAGUCUGCAAUUCGACUCCAUGAAGUUGGAAUCGCUAGUAAUCGCAGAACAGCAUGCUGCGGUGAUACGUUCCCGGGCCUUGUACACACCGCCCGUCACGCCAUGGAAGUUGGGAGUACCCGAAGUUGCUGUCC